rnacentral:rRNA from 1 species
AUUGAACGCUGGCGGCAGGCCUAACACAUGCAAGUCGAGCGGGGUUUUCGGACCUAGCGGCGGACGGGUGAGUAAUGCGUAGGAAGCUACCCGAUAGAGGGGGAUACCAGUUGGAAACGACUGUUAAUACCGCAUAAUGUCUACGGACCAAAGUGUGGGACCUUCGGGCCACAUGCUAUCGGAUGCGCCUACGUGGGAUUAGCUAGUUGGUGAGGUAAUGGCUCACCAAGGCGACGAUCCCUAGCUGGUUUGAGAGGAUGAUCAGCCACACUGGAACUGAGACACGGUCCAGACUCCUACGGGAGACAGCAGUGGGGAAUAUUGGACAAUGGGCGCAAGCCUGAUCCAGCCAUGCCGCGUGUGUGAAGAAGGCCUUCGGGUUGUAGAGCACUUUCAGUAGGGAGGAAGCGUUGUGUGUUAAUAGUACACAGCGUUGACGUUACCUACAGAAGAAGCACCGGCUAACUCUGUGCCAGCCGCCGCUGUAAUAC